GGAAUGCAGGAAUGGAAUUCUGGAGUCUGCCUGGAUCUGGGGUGGAUCCUUGGAGCCAAGGGCUGGAAUUCUGGAAUGUUUGGGAAUGCAGGGCUGGAAUCCUGGAAUGUGUUUGGGAAUACAGGGCUGGAAUCCUGGAGCCAAGGGUAGGAUCUCUGAGCAAUCCAAAUCCCUGGAAUGUGUUUGGGAGCAAAGGACAGAUCCCUGGGACACGUUGGGAGCCAAAGUUUGGAUCUUUGGAGCGUGUUGGGAGCAAAGGGCCGCACCUCUGGAACGUGUCCAGAUCCCUGGAGAGUUUGGGAAUGAAGGGCCGGAUCUCUGGAGCGUGUCCGGAGCCAAGGGUCGGAUCCCUGGAACUCCUCCAGAUCCCUGGAACUCCUCCAGAUCCCUGGAGCGGGUCCAGCUCCCGGAGUGUGGCCGUGGCUUUGCUCCGCAGCCAAAUCCCUGGAAUGGCUUUUCCUGUCUCCCGCUGUCGCUCCGGCAGCUGCCAGAGGCCACGGCCCCGCUCCCGGCCCUGCUUCCCUCGCUCCAUCCCGUUAUCCCAUGGAUCCCAUCCCAAUCCCACGGAUCUCUUCCCAGUCCCAUGGAUCUCUUCUCAUCCCAUGGAUCUCUUCCCAUCCCACGGAUCUCUUCCCAAUCCCAAUCCCAUGGAUCUCUUCUCAUCCCAUGGAUCCCAUCCCAUCCCAUCUUACGGAUCUCUUCCCCAUCCCAAUUCCAUGCAUCUCAUCCCAUCCCAUGGAUCUCUUCCCAUCCCAUGGAUCCCAUCCUAUGGAUUCCAUCCUGUGGAUCCCAUGUCAUCCCAUGAAUCCCAUCCCAUGGAUCCCAUCUCAUCCCAUGGAUCCCAUCCCAUGGAUCUCUUCCCAUCCCAUCCCAUGGAUCCCAUCCCAUCCCAUGGAUCUCAUCCCAUCUCAUCCUAUGGAUCCCAACCCAUCCUAUGUAUCCCAUCUCAUCCCAUGGAUCCCAUCCCUUGGAUCCCAUCCCAUCUAUGGAUCCCAUCCCAUGGAUCCCAUCCCUUCCCAUCCCAUCUCAUCUCAUGGAUCCCAUGCCAUGCCAUGCCAUCCCAUCUAUGGAUCCGAUCCAUCCCAUGGAUCCCAUCCCAUCCCAUC
rnacentral:lncRNA from 1 species